rnacentral:lncRNA from 1 species
AAUUGAUUAACUAUAUUUACAAGUCUUGCUUGAUACGAACUGAACACUAGGAAGCAUGUUAGUUUAAUCAACUGAUCACUGUUUAAAUUGACUUGUUUGCUAAAGGAUUGGUUAUAGUGAACGCGAAUCUAAUCAUUUUAGGAAUCGGUGAAUAUGAAUAAAUGAAUUUAUAUAUGCAAUUGUCUAUGUUUUUAAGGUGUAAUUUGUCUAAACCAAAGUACCUGAAGAGAUUUGCUUUCCUGUUAGUUUAUCGAGAGUAGUUAAUUAAUUGUUAGUUUGAGAUUAUUUUCUUUAUUAUUUUCGUGUGACCUGUAACCUAUAAUCAAAUAUUUUAAAUUAAUCCACCGUUCCCUGUGAUCGACACCCGACUUACCUAAGCUAUACUGUAAUCUGACUAGGUACACUGCCUAUAAGUGCAUAGAUAGUCUAAGUUUGUUAGGUUAUAAAUAUUAAAAUUAGUGGGUACUUUUGUGCACAUCAAGUUUUUGGCGCCGUUGCCGGGGAACGGUUUGUCAUUAAUUUAGUUUAUUUAAUUAUUCGUUAUUUGUUUUUAGUUAGUUUUUAUUUUUAGUUUGAUUUUCGAUGACAUCAUUUCACUUGUCGGGAAGGUUCUUGUUUUUAUUUUGCAGGAAUUUGGGAUUGUACACAUUGCUUGACGUUACUUUUUGCAUGGGUUUCGGGAAUGAAAGCGAUUAGGGAAUUCUUGACCUGCUUAGCCUACUACUUUGUUGAUCUGUCCAACUCAAUCCAGGAGGCGUAGUAUAGCAAGGCGUAUUGUGGUGGUUAAGUGGAAGACCGAGCUCUUGCUGUUCUUGACUAGUUGGGUCACUUCUUGUUCUACUUUUAGUUAAAGGUGCAAGGAAAACAAAGGAAAUAUUCUAACGGGUCCCGAAAGUGGGUGUUUUCGCAAACCAAUUCUUGCAUACAAAGAUUUUUGAUCAGCCAUUGUUGUUAGAUCUUAACAAAGAUAAGUGAUUAUGACGUCUCCGUUUUUUUUUUGUUUUUUUUUUAUCACUCAUCGUAAAGUCAUCAUUAGCUGAAGAAAUUAAAAAGAAAAAAAAUAAUAAAGUUUUAAGUCCCUUGAUUAAAUAAUUAAAAAGAAAAAGGGAAAUUUUAUUUAAACUUACGCCUUGCGUAAGUAGGAUUACGCCUUGCGUAAUGAGCCCCAAAUCGCGAAUGAACAUUUCAGGGGGAUGGGGUUACGCCCCGCGUAGCCUUGUGUUACGCCCCGCGUAAUGCGACGACUAGGUAUACCUUUUGACCCUUUGACUGUUUAGUGUUAUUCUUUCAAUCCUCUCCUUUCUCGUAUACGUUGUGGACGGAAGAAGCCUCCAAAGAUUCUCAAUUUUUUGUGUUUCUUGUUAAAUCCAACAUACAAGUAAGCUUUUCGGUUACUCAAUAUCAUGUAUUUGUGUUUCAAUCGGUGGAAUAAGCUGCAUUUAGCCUUUGUUCGAAAUCUAGGGUUUAUGAGGUUCUUGAAUUAGGGCCGAUUUCGCAAAUGUAUGAGUUGAUUAGGGCUUGAAUGGACCGAUUUCGGUUAAUACACUGAACCCUCGGACCUAAUUUCGUCUUAAUCCCGUCCCACACCAUCGAUUUGACCUCAAGGACGUACGCCAAGCUUACCCCUGUUGACUUCGAGUUCUUGACUGAUUUCGAGUUCUUUGACUACUUUAUGCAGUUUCCCUGAUUAAGUGGUUGUUAAUUUUAAAUAGUUACGAGAUUAUGGGAAUGGAUUUUUAAAGAUGGUCCCGAUUCUAUCUUACAGCCUUUGGACCACGACAUUUUAACAUUCUGUUGCCCCUGCUAUGUUUAUUUUUAAGUUGGGUUAUGAUUUUAGCACAAGUAAAGUAACCGGGACGUAGAUUUGUGGAACCUGGACGUACGCCCAGCGUACGCUGGAUGUACGCCCAGCGUAAUGUCCCUAUCCAGCUUCAAUUUUGUUGGUUUAAAAUUUAUUAAUGCUACCAUAUUUUGUUUGGUUUUGUGUUUUUGUUUAUUUGUGCAGAUUAUGGCUCGAAGGACGCAAAGAACCAACCCACCCGAGGAUGUGACCGAUCAUCGUUUUUUACAAUUUCCGCAAACGCUGAACGAUGCUACCCGGGCACGUUAUGUUACCAACUUGAGUUUGCUUCUCACAAAGGAGAUUGAUAUUGCACCCUCAUUCGAUUGGGAAUUGGCUACCAGGACUGGACUUGUUGCAUUGAUCCAGGAAUUUUUGCAAUACACACACUCGGACGCGAGUGGUGUGGAAUUGUUUGUGUGUCAGGGAUGGGCGCGUUUGUUCAGGAUCCAGGAGCCUGUAUAUCGGGAGUUUUUGCUGGAGUUCUACGCUACAGUUUCCUAUGAUCCUAGGAAGGCACUCGAUGACAGGACAGCCUUUGCUUUCAGACUGGGAGGAGUGAGCCGGGAAUGCAGCGUGAUAGAGCUAGCUACUCGGGUUGGUAUUUACACAGCCGAUGAGACAAGGAGUGUCCACUUCCCGACGUUCCUUGCUGACUAUCUCACGGACCGGCCAAAAGACUAUAACGAGAACACUUUUUGGGCCGAGAUUACGGGAGGAGUUUAUACACCAUCGACCGCUCGAGGGGGGAUGAUUCGGUCUACUACAUACCGAAUGUUGCACCGAUUGAUUUCUAUGUCUCUCACGCAUCACAAGAAUAGUGAGAGAGUGCCUUCGACGGACUUGUAUUUCUUAUGGGCACUAGUUACUCCAGGGAGGCACCUGAACCUUCCAGUUGCGUUAGCUGCAUAUUUGGGACGGAGGGCCAGGGGACUUCGGGCAGAUAGCCCGAUAUGCAGAGGGCAUUUUAUCACGCGGUUAGCUCGAUCAUAUCAGAUGCUGACGCGUGAGAUCACAAGAUCGAUGGUAUUUCACGACAUGAGGCCGAUGAGUCUUCAGCUAUUGGAGUCGAUGCGUGUAUUAGAGCGGGGUGGAGAUGGUGUUUUGAGGGUUCGGUCAGAUGAUGUAGCAGAUGAGGAGGGUGCCGCCGAGCCACAGUCGAGACGGGUCCAGCGGCGUCGACCUGCUCCUCGGGAAGCGCAGCAGGGACCUGAGCCAGAGAUUGAUAUGCGCCACCUAGCUCAGGGCAUUGACCGCCUUAGCGAGUAUGUUGCACAUGUGGACAGGCAACAGCAGUGGUAUGGGGAUGCGUUGAACGCAUUCUUUGCCCACCAGGGGUUUUAGUAUUCGGUUCCCUUUCCACCACCAUUCCAGUCACGAUUUGAUGGGGCCGGUACUUCUGGGACACAGCCACAUGAUGAUGGAGAUGACGAGUGAUCCUUUUUAUUUUGUUUAUUUUUUUUGUUUUGUGUUAUUUUUAGUUUAGUUUAGUUUUUUUUUUAGUAUUUGGUAUGUAAUUAAACGUUAAUUUAGUUUGUUUUACUUUUGUUUUCCAUGUUGAUGCUCUUUGGUUGUUUAGAUUUCUGCAGAAUUUUCGCCCUUAGGAAGUUGGCAGUAACUUCAGCAGCUAGGUCCGACUGUUGCUAGAGAGAGCCGUGUGUGACUUAAAGAUUAUAGUCAAGACCCACAAUUUGUCAUAAGUGUGGGGUGCAUAUUUAUUUCGUGAGCGAUCGUUUUGAAGAUUGGCAUUUUCACAAUUUUUGACUCUUAUGAUAUGGAAAAGCAGUUCCCACACCAUAGAGUUUUAUUUCGACGCGAGGAAGAAGUAUCGUCCCGGCUGCCACGACAUGGUUGACACUUUCCUAUGUUAUGGGGGAUUUUUCAUCGCGAGAAGAGGAUGUCAUUCUUGACGAGACGACGUGGUCGACACUUUCCCACAUCAUGAAGCAGCAGUUCCAGUUGUUAGUCUUUCAGCGAUAUUUGAAGCAACUUGUAGCAGCCCCAUUCGAUCUCGCCACAACUACCCUGGGGAGUCUGUUCCUUUUUCUCCUUUUUAUCUUCUUAAUUCGUUUUAGCAUACAAUGAAGGCAUUGUAUGAAAUAAGUGUGGGGUAGGGGGUCGGUAAAAGUAAAUUAAAAUUAAAAGAAUAAAUGAAAUUGCUAGAUUUGGAAAAUUUAAUAAUUUUAAAUUUAAAAAAAAAAAAAACUUGAAAUAAUAGUUUAAUUUAAAAAAAAAUCUAGUGAUAAUUUAAAUUUUUGCUAAUAUUGUAUGAAAUGAUCCGAUGAGAACUCAAAUGUUUAGUUGAGCCAAUAUACGUUAUAGUGCAUUUGUGGCCUCCCUUAUUUUAGUGAAAUCAUGGAACAAAAACAUAACCCCGCUUGGUUUGAGGGAUGCAAUAUGUUUAGCAGCCUAAACCUGAAAUGUAUCUAGGAAAAUUAUUAUCAUUAACCAAUAAAGGUUGAGGUUGAGCGCCUCUGCUUAAGCAUGUAGGUUUUGAGUGAAAAAAAAAAGAGAGUUACAUGUGAAAAAAAAAAAAAGGAGAGAAUUACGAAAAGUUUGAAGAAUUUUGGAGCAAAUAAAGUGAAGAUCAAAAGAUCAAAAUUCUGAAGAAAUCCAAAAAGUUGAAGAUACCAGAAAUCAAUUCAAAUAAGGUGUUGAAUUCAAAGAAAUCAAAGAUCAAAAUGCCAAAGAAAUGAAGAAUUCAAAUAAAGCUCCAUAGUGGUAUCAUAAAUUGUAAUUCUAGAAUAUGUAUGCUUAGGUUGCUCAACUAAAAAUACCUUGAGGUUAGGAGGUUUUCUGCGGAUGGAUUCGGAGGGUUGCAUAAAAUGAGCAUUGUUCGGAAAAAGUGGGCGAGUGUUUAUGAAGAUUGUGAGUAUUUAAAAUAUGGGGGGGUACUUUAGGAAAAUAUUAGACACAAAUGUACGCGUUGAGGUCUUGGCAUAAUGGCUGAGUUUUAAAUGGAUUGUUUAGUGCAAUAUUGGUAAAAUAAAAGUAAAUUUGCUUGGGGGCAAGCAAAGGCUAAGUGUGGGGUAUUUUGAUAUGUGUAUUUUUAUAUAUAUUUUUAUGCACUUUAUCUUAAUAUUUUGGCCUUAUUUAUUCUAUUUUAGAACUAAAAAGUACUCAUAAUACUUUGAAUUAUGUUUUGCAGCUAUUCGUUGCCGAUGAACCACAAAAGAAAAGACUGAAGCGGAAGCCGGACUUCGAAGCUAAAAGAAAUCAAAAUUGCUGAAAGAGUGAUUACGCCCCGCGUCCAGAAUGAUUACGCCCCGCGUAAUGACCAAAGCAACUUACGCCCCGCGUAAGGUAAUGGUACGCGCCGCGUACACCUUUGCACCGGAUAGACUUGAUCGCGUGAUUAUCUUGAGUACGCGCUGCGUAAUCCUAAGUACGCCCAGCGUACUUAGGUCGGCCACAAAGAUUAUAAAUAUCGAUUUUUAGCUAACCAGGAGGGGGGAUUCGACUUCUAACCUAAUUUAGUCGACAAUUAACUUCUGUUAAGCCGUUUUGAGGGUCUAGAAGGCGGCCGGAAGGCCGUUAAGCUAACGGGAGCGGAGAUCGGAAGGAUUGGAGAGCGGAUACAUGUUGAUUAUCAUAUGGUUUGCUGACGUGACCAUGUUUAGCAUUCUAUUGUGGUACUUUUCUGUAUUUAGUUUCUGAUUUAGGUGUAAAAACCUUUUACUUUGUGUUUAUGAUUGAAUGAAGCUUUGAUUAUUAGACUAAUUGCUAUAUUAAAUAGUUUAUUUGUGUUUAAUUUAUCUUGCCAAGCUUGUUUAAAGAUCCUCAUGUGUUAAUGAUGAUUAUUUUCUGUUAAUUGUUAAGUGAAUUGAGUUGCUUGAACAUCUGCUUGAUUUGCUUGUCUCUUAUGAUUUUUGAUGACCAUCGAGAUUAUAAGACUAGAAAUAACGAAUGUGAAACUAGGAUUAAUUUGAGAAUAAGUAAGUUAAUGUGUGAGCCUUGUUUGAUGACCAUCAACAAGAGGUUGAUUAAAUGUCUACAUUGAUUAACUAUAUUUACAAGUCUUGCUUGAUACGAACUGAACACUAGGAAGCAUGUUAGUUUAAUCAACUGAUCACUGUUUAAAUUGACUUGUUUUCUAAAGGAUUGGUUAUAGUGAACGCGAAUCUAAUCAUUUUAGGAAUCGGUGAAUAUGAAUAAAUGAAUUUAUAUAUGCAAUUGUCUAUGUUAUUAUGGUGUAAUUUGUCUAAACCAAAGUACCUGAAGAGAUUUGCUUUCCUGUUAGUUUAUCGAGAGUAGUUAAUUAAUUGUUAGUUUGAGAUUAUUUUCUUUAUUAUUUUCGUGUGACCUGUAACCUAUAAUCAAAUAUUUUAAAUUAAUCCACCGUUCCCUGUGAUCGACACCCGACUUACCUAAACUAUACUGUAAUCUGACUAGGUACAUUGCCUAUAAGUGCAU